rnacentral:rRNA from 1 species
ACAUGCCUACAACAUAGCGUUAAUGCAUCAGAUCCCAUUAGAGCUUUGCGAUUAAGCGCGCUCAGGAUAGAGUAUUACUGGGAUGGGCGACCGCCCGAGAAUUCCUAGUGUUUUACAUGCC